ensembl:lncRNA
GCUGCCCCCUCCCCCACACACACACACUUCAGAUGCCAAUCACAAGUCCAGGUUGUCACCUGUGCUUCUGAUGAUUGGCUUUAAAUCAGAGGUUCCCAUGACUUCCUCCUUGGGUUUGAUUAAUUCACUAGAAUGGCUCACAGAACCCAGGAAAACAGUUUACUUACUGUUUACCAGUUUAUUAUAAAAGGAUAUGAUAAAGGAUACAGAUGAACAUCCAGAUGGAAGAGAUGCAUAAGGCAGGGUAUAUGGAAAGGGGUGUGGCGCUUCCAUGCUCUCUCCAGGUGCACCACUCUCCCAGCAUCUCCACCUGUUCACUAAAGUGGGAGCUCUCCCAGACCCCUUACAUUUGGGAUUUUUAUGGAGGCUUCCUCACAUAAGCACGAUCAACCAUUAACUCCAUUUCCAGCCUCUCUCCUCUCUCUGGAGAAUGGGGGAUGGGGCUGAGAAUUCCAAGCUUCUCAUCAUGACUUGGUCUUUCUGGUGACCAGCCCCCAUCCAGGAACCAUCCAGAAGUCACCUCAUUAAAACAAAAGACACUGCCAUCACCCAGGAAAUUCCAGGAAUUUGGGAGCUCUGUGUCAGGAACCUGGGUCAAAGACCAAAUAUUAGAAGAAAAGAUGCUCCUAGUGCUAUUAUCACAGGAAAAUACAAGGGUUUUAGGAGCUCUGUGCCAGGAACCAGUGGCAGAUACCAAUAUGUAUUUUUCUACCAUCUCACGACACACCUAUUACUUUUCUUUAAACAACCGUCUUUUAAAGAGAUUUCAAAAGUGAGAAAAAUGUAUCUGAUGUUUAACCACAGAUUUACCAUUUUUAGUGUUCUCUGUUCUUUUGUGUAGAUCCAAAUUUCUUCUACUAUCAUAUUCUGCCUGAAGAACUUCUUUUAACACUAUUUGUAGCAUAAGCCUGCUGGCAAUAUAUUCUCUCCGUUUUUAUUCACUUUAAAGAAAAGUCUAUAUUUAAUUUUCAUUUUUGAAAAAUUUUGGUAGGUUUUAGAAUUCUAGGUUGACACUUUUUUCUUUCAAUACUUGGAAGACGUCACUUCAUUGUCUUUUGGCUCUGACAAGAAGUCUGCUGUCUCUCUGAUUUUUCUUCUCUAUUUUUUGUGUGCCCCCACCCACACCUGCUUUUAAGAUUUUCUACUUAUCACUAGUUUUCAAAAAUUUGAUCACUAUAUAUCCUGGUGUGAUUUUCUUUGUAUUUCGUUUGUGGUUCAUUGGGCUUCUUGCUUUUGCGAGUUUAGAGUAUUCAUCAGAUUUAGACAUUUUUCAGCCAUUAUUUCUUCAAAUAUUUUUUCUAUCUCCUCCCCCCUUCUAGGGUUCCAGUUACAUUUAUUUUAGAUUGCUUGAUGUUGUCUUGCAACGCUGAUGUUCUCUUCAUUUUUUCCCCAGAUCUUCCCCUGUGUGUUUCAUUUUAGGUAAGUUUCUAAUGCUGUUUCUUCAAAGAUCAUGGAUACAUCUUCCUGUGGUGUCUAAGUUGCUGUUAGUCCCAUUCAGUGUAAUUUUCAUUGCAGGUGUUGCAUCAAGAAAAAUAAAGUAGGGGAGGGAGAUAGACCCCAGGUGGAUGUUUUAAAUAUGGCCAUCAGGGGAAACCUUACUGAUUAAGUGAAAUCUGAGCAAACACCUGAAGAAGAUUCAGCGGAUUCAAGUCUUCAUUAUCCUCCAAAGCUUUUUCUUCUCUCAGCACUUUUCUCUUUUCUAUUUAACCUGUUCUUUUCUGCUAAUAUAGCAUAGAUAGCUUUCUCUUGUCUUCUGUAUGUUCCUUUUUGUCUCAGAGCCUCCUUAACUAUGCUUUUACAUUUCUUUUCUAUUUGUCUCUCUCCUGUCUUCCUUUCCUUUAUUAUUGAUUCCUUUCACUGCUUAUCUUGUGGCUUCUGUAUCUACAGUGGUUUUAUUUUACUCUUUCAUUCUUUCCAAAGCUUUCACUGUUCACUCUUCAUCUCCUUUCACUUUAUAGUUGAACACUUUUACCUCCCCUUUAAUUUCUUAUUUCUAGAGACCACAUUUUCUUUAAUUUAGUUGAUAUCGAUAGGAAACAUAUUCUGUGGCACAGUCUUCAUCUGCAGCUGAGCUGACUGUCACUUACAUUCGCUCACUUGCUCCAUAAACGGACAGCCUCUUCUUGUGGAAAUGGCAGGUCCACACAGAUUAUCAUUCAGCCCCUCAUCUCCUGCCUCGCUGUGAUGUUAAGUCAGGUUUGGGACACUCCCACAGACCUAAUGAUACAAGAAAGCAAAUAUCAAUUUGGCCCUCAGCAAGGCCAGCUGCUCUGAAGAAAUCCAUGUGCUCCUCAAGAUCCGUCAAGGUCAAGGUGGAGUAAUAUGAACCAGCAGAAUAUACAGCACAGUGUGUCCUCAGCAGCUAUCCUAAAGAUCAGCAAAACUCAUUCCAGUAAGACAAGCUCAUCUGAGAAGCAAGGUCAAGCCCAGUGGUCAUCAAAGAAGGUUCCCUUAACAGAAUUGCUCCCUGCCUGGAGGUGUUUCUGCUUUGUAACUUUGCUGUGGUGGUCCCUCUGGUUGCUUACCGCAUACCCAGUCAAUCCUACCACCAACUACUGCCUCAUCUUCUUUGCUAUGGCUAUUCCUAUUUUGUUGAGGAAUCGGACAGCCAUAUUCUUCAUGGGAGGCUGGCCUCCUCCCCAGCACCAGUGGUUAAAUCUUGAUGGGGAUAAAUCAUAGUAAUUCCAUUUUCUUUGCCAGUGAUUGGUUUAGGAAUAAGCAUGUGACUCAUAAUUCUGGCCAAUGAGACUUGAGAGGAAGUCUUCGGAUGGAGUUUCUAGAAAGUUCUCCUUGCUGUUCAAAAGGAAUGCAAAGGAAGAUGUUUCUUCUUAGGCCAUUGGAUAUAAUUUUGUGAGGCUAUGAUGCUUAGAGCUGCUGUAGCCAUCUUGAGCAACCAUGAGGAAAUGUGUCUGGAGCCAAAAGCCAACAGUAAGAAUGGCAUAAUAGAAAGAUGGAAAGAAUCUGGUGAUGAACCCUAAUGAACUCGUUUAGCUGCUGAAUUAAAGAUUCAGAUACCACCUGACCUCCAAAUUUCAUUGUUGUAUGAGAUAAUAAAUAUUCUUAUUAUCUAAGCCACUUUAAGUAGAUUGUUCUUACAGUCAAAAGCAGCCUAACUACAACCUAACACAUCCUAAUACAUCUGUUAGCCAUAUAACCAGAUGUGAAAGAAUCUUGUGUUAUAUCCAGUGUCUGCUUACUCCAAAAAAAAACAUUAGUUUC